GCCUGGGUGGCUCAGUUGGUUGAGCUUCUGACUUGAGCUCAGGGGAUGAUCUUGUGAUUCGUGGGUUCAAGCCCUGCGUCGGGCU